CCUACCGCCGCCCCGCUCCCCUCGGCCGCCCCACGGGCUGAGGGGAACCCCGGCCAUUCUCAUUUUAAACUGCUGCGAACUUGUUCUCCCGCGGAGAUCCCUGCCCACGCGGGCUGGGGGGAGCUGGAGACAGCACAGGGGUGCCGGAGGCACCUUUACACGCUCCCUUUUGUAAUGCGGCGGGGGGCUUUACUCGUAAUGGGUUUCCUGGAGGACUUUCUUGAGCAGAGUUAGGCGCACAUUUGUCCCCAGGCUUCAUGGAGGUCGCCACAGGAUUGCGCAGCACAGCGGCGUUGUCACAGAAAGCAUUGCACUGCAAGGUGUUACGGAAAGGUUUGCUACUUACCUGUGGCUAAAAUGCAGCCUCUGGGUAUAAAGCCUAGGAAUCACAGACCACAUGAUAUGUCAAACUCUCUUCACAGCGCAGAGACAGAUUGAAGCAGCAAUUAUCUUCUCUUCACAGACCUGGUGAAAGACUGACAGCACCGGAAAAAUUAGCAAGGAGGUUCUGUGAUCUGGAGCUGGAACUGAUGGUAUGAGAGGCAGGAAAACCUGACUGGUGCAGGCCCUAUUCAUCAGUCUUAUUGACAAUAAAUACUGACUAAUGUAAUUUU